rnacentral:tRNA from 1 species
CAUUAGAUGGCUGAAUGUAAGCGCUGGUCUCUUAAACCGUAUAAUAGUAAAUUAACACAUACUUCUAAUGA